rnacentral:rRNA from 1 species
CCUACGGGAGGCAGCAGUGAGGAAUAUUGGUCAAUGGACGAGAGUCUGAACCAGCCAAGUAGCGUGAAGGAUGACUGCCCUAUGGGUUGUAAACCUCUUUUAUCUGGGAAUAAAAUGUUCCACGUGUGGGGUUUUGUAUGUACCAUAUGAAUAAGGAUCGGCUAACUCCGUGCCAGCAGCCGCGGUAAUACGGAGGAUCCGAGCGUUAUCCGGAUUUAUUGGGUUUAAAGGGUGCGUAGGCGGUUUGUUAAGUCAGUGGUGAAAGUUUGCGGCUCAACCGUAAAAUUGCAGUUGAAACUGGCAGUCUUGAGUAGAGUAGAGGUAGGCGGAAUUCGUGGUGUAGCGGUGAAAUGCAUAGAUAUCACGAAGAACUCCGAUUGCGAAGGCAGCGCACUGGACUGCAACUGACACUGAGGCUCGAAAGUGUGGGUAUCAAACAGGAUUAGAUACCCCGGUAGUC